rnacentral:lncRNA from 10 species
CGCCGAGCCCCGCCGGGCGCUCAGGGCAUGAAUAUUUCAGUGCUGGCGAAGCUGCCCUCUGCCGAUGUCAUGGCACCGGCUGCUGUGGCAACUCUACGAAUCCCCCAAAGGGGCAGGGAGGAAGCCCGCGGAAGAGGCCCCAGGUGCGAGACAGAGCAGUGCCCCGCCAGGCCGCCAGCCGUCCCGCAGAGGGGCGCGCAGGGGGAUGGGGCCCCCAGCGUCUCGUCCGCCCCGCGCCUCAGGCAGAGCGAGGGACAGAGACUUUAUGGCUUUCUGAGACAGCUGGAUCAAGAAAGGGUCCAUAUGCAG